rnacentral:lncRNA from 1 species
UUUCUGCAAGAAUCUUCUAUACUUGGCAUUGUGAUGGUGGCUUGUUGCUAAUGGUGGCUCUCGUAGCUUGACUUCAAUUUGCAUCUACUAGAUCUGAAUGGAAUGACUUCAGGUUCCUGAUGUGAAAUAUCGGAUGUAUUUUCAUCCACUUUGGUGGAUCAAUCUUGUAAGAGGUCUUUUUAACAUUGGCAAUAAUUGUUAUCGGGCCUUCAUACUUUUGCACUAGCCGUUGGUCUCUUUUUCUUAGGAACCUAAG